rnacentral:snRNA from 13 species
AUACUUACCUGGACGGGGUCGAUGGAUGAUCAGGAGGAUCCAUAGCCUAGGGUAGUGACCUUCAUUGCACUUGGGAGGGGUGUUUUCCUAAGGUCUUCUCAAGUAGGAGAGCCUGCGUCAUAAUUUGUUGUAGUGGGGGCCUGCGUUCGCGGGGCCCUUAC